rnacentral:rRNA from 1 species
UCAAGUGACUAAGUGUAUGUGGUGGAUGCCUUGGCGAUCACAGGCGAAGAAGGACGUAGUAGCUUGCGAUAAGCUGCGGGGAGCCGGCAAACGGGCAUUGAUCCGCAGAUUUCCGAAUGGGGGAACCCACCGACGUAAGUCGGUAUCACACACUGAAUACAUAGGUGUGUGAGGCGAACGGAGCGAACUGAAACAUCUAAGUAGCUCCAGGAAAAGAAAUCAACCGAGAUUGCGAAAGUAGCGGCGAGCGAAAUCGCAGCAGCCCAGUGUUCUGAUAGCACGAACGACAGCAGAAAGGUCUGGAAAGGCCUGCUAUAGAGGGUGAUAGCCCCGUAUGCGAAAUCGAACGUGUGGUACUAAGGAACCGAUAAGUAGGGCGGGACACGUGACAUCCUGUCUGAAGAUGGGGGGACCAUCCUCCAAGGCUAAAUACUCGUGAUCGACCGAUAGUGAACCAGUACUGUGAAGGAAAGGCGAAAAGAACCCCGGGAGGGGAGUGAAAUAGAACCUGAAACCGCAUACAUACAAACAGUAGGAGCCCGUGUAGUCGGGUGACUGCGUACCUUUUGCAUAAUGGGUCAGCGACUUACGUUUUGUGGCGAGCUUAACCGAGUAGGGGAGGCGUAGCGAAAGCGAGUUCGAAUAGAGCGAGAAGUCUCAAGGCGUAGACCCGAAACCAGAUGAGCUAUCCAUGGCCAGGUUGAAGGUGUGGUAACACACACUGGAGGACCGAACCGACUAGUGUUGCAAAAUUAGCGGAUGAGCUGUGGAUAGGGGUGAAAGGCUUAACAAAUCUGGAGAUAGCUGGUUCUCCCCGAAAACUAUUGAGGUAGUGCCUCGUGUAUUGCUCCAGGGGGUAGAGCACUGUUAUGGCUAGGGGGACAUGGCGUCUUACCAAACCAUGGCAAACUCCGAAUACUUGGAAGUAAGAGCACGGGAGACAGAGCACCGGGUGCUAACGUCCGGACUCAAGAGGGAAACAACCCAGACCGCCGUUUAAGGUCCCAAAUAUUGACUAAGUGGAAAACGAAGUGUGAAGGCUAAGACAGUCAGGAAGUUGGCUUAGAAGCAGCCAUCCUUCAAAGAAAGCGUAAUAGCUCACUGAUCGAGUCCUCAUGCGCGGAAGAUGUAACGGGGCUAAGUCAAUAACCGAAAGCGCGGAUUUGCACGAUGAGUGCAAGUGGUAGGGGAGCGUUCUGUAAGCCUGCGAAGGUGGUUCGAGAGGACUGCUGGAGGUAUCAGAAGUGCGAAUGCUGACAUGAGUAACGUUAAAGCGGGUGAAAAGCCCGCUCGCCGUAAGCCCAAGGUUUCCUGCUCUACGUUCAUCGGAGCAGGGUGAGUCGGCCCCUAAGGCCAGGCUGAGAAGCGUAGUCGAUGGGAAGCAGAUUAAUAUUUCUGCACCAUGUGCAAGUGCGAUGGGGGGACGGAGUGCGAAAGAUCAUCCGGGUGUUGGAUGUCCCGGUUUGUGAGUGUAGAAGGCCGACAGGCAAAUCCGUCGGCGGAUCUUCGAGACAAAGCAUCGAGGUUCUACGGAACCGAAGUGAUCGGAAGUGCUUCCAGGAAAAGCCUCUAAGCUCCAGCUUGCAUGUGACCGUACCGUAAACCGACACUGGUGGGCGAGUUGAAUAUACUCAGGCGCUUGAGAGAACUCGGGAGAAGGAACUCGGCAAAUUGACACCGUAACUUCGGGAUAAGGUGUGCCUUUGUAGCGUGAAGAGAGAAACACUCGGAGCGUGAAGAGGCCUCAGAGAAUCGGUGGCUGCAACUGUUUAUUAAAAACACAGCACUCUGCAAAGACGAAAGUCGACGUAUAGGGUGUGAUGCCUGCCCGGUGCUGGAAGAUUAAGUGAUGGGGUGAGAGCUCCUGAUCGAAGUCCCAGUAAACGGCGGCCGUAACUAUAACGGUCCUAAGGUAGCGAAAUUCCUUGUCGGGUAAGUUCCGACCUGCACGA